AGUGAACGCUGGCGGCGUGCUUAACACGUGCAAGUCGAACGAGAACGGAAUAUAGCUUGCUAUAUUUGUCAGCUAAGUGGCGCACGGGUGAGUAAUGUAUAGAUAACCUGCCCUUAAGAAAGGAAUAACAGUUGGAAACGACUGCUAAUGCCCUAUAUGCCUUUAAUACAUAAGUAUGCAAGGGAAACGCUUUAGUGCUUAAGGAUGGGUCUGUAUGGUAUCAGCUUGUUGGUGAGGUGAUGGCUCACCAAGGCUAUGACGCCUAACUGGUUUGAGAGGAUGAUCAGUCACACUGGAACUGAGACACGGUCCAGACUCCUACGGGAGGCAGCAGUGGGGAAUAUUGCACAAUGGACGAAAGUUUGAUGCAGCAACGCCGCGUGGAGGAUGACACAUUUCGGUGCGUAAACUCCUUUUAUAUAGGAAGAUAAUGACGGUACUAUAUGAAUAAGCACCGGCUAACUCCGUGCCAGCCGCCGCGGUAAGAC
rnacentral:rRNA from 1 species